rnacentral:rRNA from 1 species
UGGGGAAUAUUGCACAAUGGGCGCAAGCCUGAUGCAGCCAUGCCGCGUGUGUGAAGAAGGCCUUCGGUUGUAAAGCACUUUCAGCGAGGAGGAAGGUGGUGAACUUAAUACGUUCAUCAAUUGACGUUACUCGCAGAAGAAGCACCGGCUAACUCCGUGCCAGCAGCCGCGGUAAUACGGAGGGUGCAAGCGUUAAUCGGAAUUACUGGGCGUAAAGCGCACGCAGGCGGUUUGUUAAGUCAGAUGUGAAAUCCCCGGGCUCAACCUGGGAACUGCAUUUGAAACUGGCAAGCUAGAGUCUCGUAGAGGGGGGUAGAAUUCCAGGUGUAGCGGUGAAAUGCGUAGAGAUCUGGAGGAAUACCGGUGGCGAAGGCGGCCCCCUGGACGAAGACUGACGCUCAGGUGCGAAA